AUUCAGCUUGGACUUACUUUGAGAUGGACGCUACCAACAAUUUCAAUGAGGAUGGAUAAGGGUGUUCAUGGACAUAGUAUAAAGCCAUAGAUAUUAGAAUUGUGGGAUGGAUGGAUACAGUUGUUGGAAACUCAAUUGAAACAAAGCAAGCCAUAAUGAAUAGGCCUACAGAUGAUCAUGCAAUGUUGAACAUGUUUUCUUUGUUGCUGUAAGUAUAUGUAUGAAAAGUGUAUAAUGUAGUUGACUACCUGUCAUAAUUGGUGUGUGUGUGUGUGUGUGUGUGUGUGUGUGUGUGUGUGUGUGUGUGUGUGUGUGUGUGUGUGUGUGUGUGUGUGUGUCUGCGUGCCUGCCUGCAUACGUGUGUGACUUUCCUAGGUUGGGGGAUGACUUGCGUGCGUUUGUGUUGCUGACUCUCCAAGAAGAUAUACAGCAACAAAUACUACAGGCAGACAGUGGCCAUCCGCAUGCCGGUCAAGUGGGUGGCCAUAGAGAGCCUAUUAGAGUCCAUCUUUAACAGCAAUAGUGCCGUGUGGUCAUUUGGGGUCACCAUGUGGGAGAUAGUGUCUAGGGAAAGGACACCGUAUCCUGGAGUCCACAACUAUCAGCUCCUGAAGAUGCUGAACACUGGACACCGAUUCAAACCACCUUAGUGUGAUGAGAAACUUUAUCUCUCUCCCCCCAGGUAUGAGGUGAUACUGAGUUUUUGGCACAUGGAACUGGGACAGAGGCCUGGUUUCAGGGAGCUUGGGGAGAGGCUGAAAGCCCUUCUGUGUGAGCUGCCACCACUGGAGGCUAGCCAGGAGGCCCAAUACAUAAACCAGGGCCUGUAGGCUGCCAAUGGGGUGCCAACGAGCACGGAGGACACAGCAGCCUCGAUUUUCGAGGAGGGCACGGUAGGGAACAUGUGGGUUUGUGGUUACUGCUAAAACUCCACCCAAGAAAGAGGACGAGGACUCACCCAAGGAAGAGAAGGAGGAGGAAGGAUAUCUGCUGGGUAUUAAAAGUGGAUCCGCUGUGAAGACAAUGGAUAAUGAAAGAGCUGUGGGUGUUUUUAUAGAUGCUUUUUGUGACAGAUAAUCUGUUCUUUAAACCGUGCUCUGGUGUUUUUGUGUUUCAGUCAGUUUGGUGUUUUAUGUUCUGUCAACUACAGUAAUCCAAGCGUGUUUGAAUGUAUUUAUUCAAUGUGUUAGCUCUGUGGUUAGAGAUCAGUGCACAACUCAACAUAUCAAAUAUCAAUCAAUUCAAAUCACCUUAACACUUUUUUAUGGUUUAGUCUAAUCUUGAUUAUUGUCCAGCCGUUGUGGUCCAGUGCAGCAAGGAAAGACCUAGUUAAGCUGCAGCUAGCCCAGAACAGAGUGGCACAUUUUGCUCUUCAUUGUAAUCAGAGGGCUGAUAUAAAUACUAUGCAUGCCAGUCUCUCUUGGCUAAGUGUUUAGGAUUGACUGACUGCAUUACUUCUUCUUUUUAUAAGAAACAAUGUGUUGAAAAUCUGAAAUAGUUUUCAUAGUCAACUCACACACAGCUCUGACACACACACUUAUCCUACCAGACAUGCCACCAGGGGUCUUUUUACAGUCCUCAAAUCCAGAACAAAUUCAAGAAAGCGUACAGUAUUAUAUAGAGCCCUUAUUGCAUGGAACUUCCUUCCAUCUCAUAUUGCUCGAAUAAACAGCAACCCUGGUUUAAAAAACCCCCAGAUAAAGCAACACCUCAUGACACAACGCCUCUCCCCUGUUUGACCUAGAUAGUUUGUGUGUAU